AACGCACGAGACCUGCGGACCUGCGGAAGGAUCAUUCACAAUAAGUGUUUUAUGGCACUUUAAUUCCAUAUCCACCUUGUGUGCAACGUAGUUCGUUUUUCGAACAAAACAUCAACAUUUUAAUUAUCAACAGAUCGUCUGAAGUAUUAUAUGAAUAAAUCAAUUCAAAAUACAACUUUUAGCAAUGGAUCUCU
rnacentral:misc_RNA from 1 species